AACCCUGGAUUUAUCUCACUGAAUACUGACUACUUGUCUGGAGUUCUUCCUGAAUGAUCAAGGCUAUCUACGUUCAGAGGAUUUCAUUUCCUAUCUACUGUCUUCGUUUGGAUUCGCAUCUAGCUGGCAGUUUCCUGCUACCUUCGCCUCUUGGACCAAGCCGUAAGCGUACCCUGUCCACCCUCGAAUUUGGAGAAUCAUCCGUUACGAUCCCGAUCAUCUUAGUCACAAUGAACACCUUCUAUAUAUUCUGUUCUCCGGAGUGUUCUCUGUAUGUGGGUCAGAUCUAUUGCAAACAAAAUGACAUUAAGGCUCUUUGCUGUUCUGUGUUCAUAAAACAGUGGUUCAUUUCUUGA